GCGCGGCUUCCGCCCGGUUGCCAGGGCGACGGGUACACAGUGCGGCCCUGCGCGGGCGCGCAGCCCGCCGCGCCGCCGCCAUGAGCCAGCGGCAGGUUCUGCAAGUUUUCGAGCAGUACCAGCGCGCCCGGACGCAGUUCGUGCAGGCGGUGGCCGAGCUCGCCGCCCGGCCGCAGAACGUCGAGACCCUCCAGAACGCAGGUGUAAUGUCUUUGCUGAGACCUCUUUUGCUGGAUGUCGUCCCAACUAUUCAACAGACUGCUGCUCUGGCUCUUGGGAGACUUGCCAAUUAUAACGAUGACCUGGCAGAGGCAGUCGUGAAGGGAGACAUUCUUCCACAGCUCUUGUGUUCAUUGUCUGAGCAGAAUCGUUUCUACAAGAAAGCAGCUGCAUUUGUGCUAAGAGCAGUUGGUAAACAUUCUCCACAGCUAGCUCAGGCAGUAGUUCAGUGUGGAGCACUGGAAAUGCUUGUGAUUUGCUUGGAAGAUUUUGACCCUGGAGUCAAAGAAGCUGCAUCUUGGGCACUUGGGUAUAUUGCCCGACACAAUUCAGAACUGUCACAAGCUGUGGUGGAUGCAGGCGCUGUUCCUCUUUUAGUGCUCUGUAUCCAGGAGCCAGAAAUUGCUUUGAAAAGGAUUGCUGCUUCAACUCUCAGUGAUAUUUCAAAGCAUUCUCCAGAGUUAGCACAGACAGUAGUGGAUGCAGGAGCUAUCGCUCACUUAGCUCAGAUGAUCCUGAACCCUGAUGCUAAACUGAAGCGUCAGGUGCUGUCAGCUCUAAGCCAAAUAGCAAAGCAUUCAGUGGAUCUUGCAGAGUUGGUGGUUGAAGCAGAAAUUUUCCCAGUUGUGCUCACAUGCCUGAAGGACUCAGAUGAAUAUGUCAAGAAAAAUGGUGCAACUUUAAUUAGAGAGAUAGCAAAGCAUACGCCUGAGCUUUCACAGCUUAUAGUAAAUGCAGGUGGAGUCGCUGCUGUGAUUGAUUGUAUUGGCAGCUGCAGAGGGACUGUCAGACUGCCUGGCAUCAUGAUGCUUGGUUACGUAGCAGCUCAUUCGGAGAACCUGUCAAUGGCAGUGAUUGUCUCCAAGGGAAUACCACCACUGUGUGCCUGCUUGAUAGAAGAACAUGAAGAUCAUAUUAAGGCAGCAGCUGCUUGGGCCUUGGGACAGGUUGGAAGACAUACUCCUGAGCAUGCACGUGCUGUUACUGUAGCAAACGUACUACCCACACUGCUUGCUAUGUAUAUGGACACACGCAGUUCAGAAGAUCUUCAAAUGAAAACUAAAAAAGCCUUAAAGAACAUCCUUCAGAAAUGCACGUAUCUUCCAGCACUUGAACCAUUGCUGCAUGAUGCCCCUCCCAAUAUUAUGAAACACAUUGUUGGGCAGUUUAGUAAGGUGUUACCACAUGACAGUAAAGCACGUCGUCUCUUUGUAACAACUGGUGGACUUAAAAAGGUUCAAGAAAUAAAAGCAGAACCUGGGUCACUUCUUCAGGAAUAUAUCAACACUAUUAACAAUUGCUAUCCAGAGGAAAUAGUAAGGUAUUAUUCCCCUGGAUAUUCUGAGAUACUUCUGGAAAGGGUGGAAAAUUACCAUCCAGUUUUAUAAACUUCAUUUUUUUAUUAGAGCUGUAUUUCACAUUUAUGCCUUUAUGACUUAUAAUACAAAUACAGCUGUUGAAACUCCUGUUUGAUUCUGAAAUCUCCUUCUACUGUUUGAACUACUGAAAGAGCUCAGCAAUUCCAGCAAGCUAUAUUUUGUUCUUUAUAAACUUGUUUGAUAAGUUUUUGUCCUUUUUGUUUUUUCUCUAACGUUACUACCAGAUAUUGUGGCAUAUAUGAAUGGAAUUUCACACAGGGGUGAUGAUUUAUGACAGAAGCUUUUUUAGAAUCAGUCAUUUCCUUUUCCUUCCACAAGAAAGGUUUGUUAUUAUCUCAUUCAAAUUUUACCAUUCUCAGUACUGUAGCCAUUUUCCCCUUUUGCCUUUGCAUAUUGUUUAGAGCUUCCCAAGCUCGAUGAGAGGGAAAAAGCUGGCCCCUGUGCUUUUUUCUAAUUAUGGAAUCCAUUCUGCACUGAGAUAUCUCCUACUGCUACCUUUCAGAAAGUAAAGUGAUGUGAUUUUGCAUCUCCAAACACAUUAGUAGCUGUUAAAUAAAGAAAUAAUCAGACCUGAUGAUGAUAAAAGGGCUGAAUUCUGCAUGAUAUGAUAGUGUGGUGGUCCUGGCAUGGUAGAUAAUACAUCUUCUGCAAAAGUCUUCCUAAUUAAGGCAGGAUUCACUGUGGAGGGAAGGAGCAAUACACUGUUUGGUGUAUGCAUUGUUGUUCCUCUUGGAAAGGACAGAGUGAACUUAGAAUUUCCAUGGGCACAAAGGGAAGGAUGCUGGGAGGUUUGGCUCCAUUUGAGUCAGCAGCAAAUUUGUGUGGCUCAGAAGAGAGGAGAAUUACUUGGCUGCAGGAACACUGUUAGCAAAGUUCUGAGCACAUUCAGAGGAAACCUGAGGACACUUGAGUCCCACCAAUUGGAGUGAUGGGACCAAGGCUGCUCAGUACUUAUUCUUCAAGAGCUGAAAUUGCUGCAGAAUUGAGUUGAAGCACACUUGGAACUUAGUCUUGAAGUUGCAGGUCACAUCUAUGCGGAGGUUAUUGGAGGUAUGAGCUCUUGUGUGUCUGUAGAACAUCCUGGAAAUAUUUUUGCCUUCUUAUGUAGAGUGAAAAGAAUUUUACAUUCUGCUUACUGCUCUGGUAUACUGUAGCAGCAGGGAGCAGCAUACAACCCUUUAAUAUUCCCUAAUAUGUAACUGUCUUUUACCAUUUUUUGUUGUUCUAACCAUUUUUGUUUUCCUAUGCAGUAGUCUUUUGUGGGGUUUUUUUUGGUUGUUGUUGUUGGGGUUUUUUUUUUCCUAAAGAGUAAUAAACAGUGUUUCUGGAAUGGGAUGUUGAAAUACUGGCAGCCACAAGGAAAGACAAUUUUUGAAAACCCCCGCAGGAGAGAAACUUGUCUACUUUCUUAAACAUAUUAACUGAAUGAGUUUAUAAAACAGGAAUAGUCUCUUCUACUACUCGUAAAACAGGAGCAAAGACUUAUUGAAGUUGGAAAUGAUUUAGAGUGGCUUUUCUCUGCCAAAUUCCAAAUGACUAUUUUCUUUUAUUCCUGUCAGCAUAUUUUUCAACAGUUUACAAAAACAUUGAUGGGCUAUCUUGUGUUAAGGUUUAAUUCUACAGAGGGCUGUGCUCCCGCUGUGAGGGAUUUGGUGCUCUCAGACUCUGCUCUUCAGAAGGAGCAGGGGAUAGACAGUACCUUGCUGUAUGGAGCCUAACUGAGAUGGAAACCGUUGGUGUCAUGAAUACCGGUAUAGAAGCCACACCAGCUGGGUUAGCCCACUUCAGAGUGAAAAGUCUUGGAACUGACUAGUUUCUACCAAAUGCCUUUUCGUUUUUGGUGUUUACAUUCUGACAUUAUUAAUGCUAGGACAUUAGUGGAAAAACAUUAGGUCUAUUAAAAAGAUUGUUGUAAUACUCAAUAAUUUUCUCACCUGCAUUAUGGAUAUUUAAAAAUAAAAUCUUGUACAAUCUCUAAAAGAAUACGUAAUGGAAGGGCUUCCAGACAGUCUUGAAGGAUCUGAAACCUUUAUUUUCCCUAGCAGAACAGAAAUGGUGCAGAGGGCUGAAUACAGUUGCAGUGCAGAUGGGAGGCAGGGUAGGCAUGGAGCUGCGUACCCAUAGCUGCAUCAUGUGCUUGGGAGCACACCCACACCACACAAUGCUAAUGUAUAUGUUUUGUACGGAGAGAGCAAAGAGGCUUCAGUCCCCUGACAAAUGUGCUCCUGCUGUGUCACACUGUGCUACACUGUAAGGAUUCCACAGGGUUAAAUUUCAAUGCCUAAACAAUUUGUUCACAGUCUUUUCACAGUCUUUUUCUGAUUCCUGACAAAGGAAAUGAUUGCACAAGGCAAACCUUCAAAGCGAUCUGAUUGUGCAGAGCACAAUCUAAAUCAGACCUAGCAAAAAUACAUCUUUACACCAGCUAGGCAGUUCUGUCCUAAGCCAGUGGCUGUUUGGCCUUUUGUUGCAGGACUCUCCUGGACGAUGCCACAUCCCAUUAGGCUGUGGCAGCGCAAAGUCCCCUCCCGCAUACUUUGAGACCCCCUCAGCUCUCCUUUGCUGGCAGGCUGCUUCCCUGCAUUGUACAUAUAGCUUCUGGCUGGAGGCUUCUCAGGAGGUACGUGUCUGCACAGUGCAGAUCCUAGCCCUUUACAGCAGAAUUAUCACUAAUUUGUAUUUUAGGCUUACAUUACUAGGGUAAGAGUUGCUCUUUUCCUGUAGUGUUUCACGAGUUCUGAUGUACAGCGUUUCUAUUCCAUCCUCUUAUUUGGCUUAAGUCAUCAUCUAAAGCUAUAUUAAUGUUUGUAAUUGCUACUCUGGCAGGCUUCGAGUGUGUAUCAUUUGUCUCGAUUUCAUAGAAUAAAAUGUAGAUUUGCAUUUUAAUUCAUUGUGUAAAUGCUGUUUUCAUGCUAGUUUGUGACUGAUGCUAGAGAAGAUGAACAACAGGCUCAUUUUGCAGUUUGAGCCUGACACCACCUUGGAUGUUAGUCUCAGCUUACCACUCAACAGUGCCUACUUCUGAGCUUAGGACAUACAAGCACUUCAAGUAAGAGUCCCUCUCACAGAGGUGGCUUAUUAAGACACACAAAGAAAAUUAAGCCAGUGCUUUGGCAGAAAUAAAUGUAAGCAGAGACAGCCCUUAAAUCAUUUUGCCAGUUCCUUUGAGUGCAACAUUGGGACUUUUCAACCCAAGUCUUUAAAGAUCUUCUCUGGGGGCCCAAGCCAUGAUUUUUGUCUACAUUACUACAGCUAUUAUUACAUCUACAGAUGUAAACCAGGACCUUGAAAGAACAUGUGGAUGUGUAAAACUUUACCAUAUUUCAUUCAGUGGAUGGAUUAACUGGCCUACAAAAGCUCCAUUCUUUAUCUGAAUGACUGGAAACCAAGAGCAUAUGAAAAGGGGAAAUUCAAGGAGUUCAACUCUUGUGCAUAUAAUAUGUUCUGCAUGUCCAGAGGGAUUUACCAAGGGAUUGCUUUGUCUCAUCUGAAGUGAUCAAUCUGCUGGAGAUCUGCAUCUUAACAAACAAACGAACAAACUGUUGAAGGACCUGAAUGGAACUGGUGAAGGAAGAAAUGAAUCUCAUUUUGUGAAGUAAAGCAUAAAGUUACUGUAAUUAGGAAGCGGAUGGAGUGUGGGUAGAUCCUCAGUGUUCUGGGUGAGUUCUAAGGGGGUUGUGAAUUAGCUUGGCCAAAAGGGAGUUUUGGGCAUGGAGGAUGCCAUGGGAUAGCCUUCAGCUUCUGGUGUAAAUUGGAGUUCGCCGAUUUCUGGGCAUGUAGGGGUGGCUGACUAUUGUCCCUUCGGGUGAGGAAUCUGUGAAAGCAUGCUUGCCUCAGUAUCUUCCUUAAUGGCUGCUUAGUGUCCGGUGUCUUCGUUGUUAGACUUCUGGAUCUCACUAUGUGACCAGGGUAGAAAAAAAGAUAGGGAGUAGUGCUAGAUUGCAAAGCCAGUGGUUCCACUUCUUGCACUGACAUAGGAUUGCUUUUAUGGUCUUGGAUAAUUACUACAAAUCCCUAUGUAUCAUCAUCUUCAGCUGUGAAGUAUCUGUUAUACUCCUUUGUUAACUUGUGGAGUGCUGGGAAAAUUAAAUUCGUAUGAGAGGUCAA